AAAGCGCAAGUCGCUUAACGAAUCAGAAUUUGACACAUGGAUUAAAAAAUAAAAAUAUUUUAAAAUAAAUAAAAAAACAAAUACAAAACCAAAACUAAAAAAGCAGUUAAGGUAAAAUCGUGCAAUUGGAAAAGUAUAGAAACAAAAAAUUUAAAAUUAAAAUUAUGGCAAAAAAAAUCUAACAAAUUUUUAAACUACCAAAACUUAAAUCCCUAUAAUUUCUCACAUCACUACCAUCACGUUCAAACUUGAAUCUGUGGUUACUCUGUUUCUUUUAUUUGCUCUCCCUCUGUCUUUCUCUUUCUCUCAUAGUUUGUCUUCUUCGUCAACUUUUUGGUUUUGAGUAUAGCAACAAAAGGCGAUACAUGAUCUGUUCUUCUCAACUUGAUAUCAUUUUUGCAUGAUUCAAACUGAAAUUGGCAAUUGAGUUUCUUCGUAUCUCAGAACUUAAUUCUUCCAAAACUAAUUCAAAAUGAAGGAAGACGAAGGAAAACGGAUUCGGCAUGUGUGUAUAAAUUUAAAAUAUCAGACGGUAAUUGGAUAUGAAAUUCCAACCUAAGGCCAAACAAAGGCUAGAUCAUCUUACCAACGAGGAAGGUGAAGAUGGCACAUCGCUGCGGGAAUGAGAUUAAGGUAAAUUGUUAAUAGAGAUAUUUUAGUUAUUCUUAACUGUAAGUUGCUACAUUUAUCCAUAGUUUAUAUAGCUUUAUCUAAAUACAAAUUAUUACUCUUCUGCAUCCCUUGACACUCAUGAUAUUACUUAGACAAUCUAAUUAACUGAUAAAAAAUAUUUUCAUAUAGUAAAAGUUUUGUGGUAUAUGUUGAAUUGUCAUUUCUUAGGAAAUUGACUUUGUCAUUUUAGAUGUUGAUUUUGUUACUGUUAACAUUCAAGUGAAUCCUUUGUUUUGCAGAUGAAGAUAUUAAUAAAGAAAAAGGUAAAUAAUUGUUUAAAGAGGGAUAAGAGUUAGAAGAAAAAUAAGAAGAUGAAGAUAAUAAACUAGAUAAUAGUGCAUAUAUAAACUGCAUAACCAAUUGGAUUUUCUGUGAAAGCUAUUUGGUUUAACCUUUUGGUUACUGUAGGUUUUGGUAAAUUUUGUGAAGUGUGUCCAAAGUAAAUCACGUAUAGCUUUGGUGUUUCAAUUUAAAAUUAUUUUAUUUUGGUAAAUCUAAUUCAUAAACAUGAUGCUUAACAAUACUUGAUUUUGAUUAAAAGUUAUGACUAUGCAUAUAAGUAUAAUUGAUUUUUUUUAAAUAAUAAAUUUUGAUUUUGUUUUCCAAUAUUGUUUUACCAUUUUCAGUUUUUUAGUUUGAAUGCAACUAUCUCACAUGACUUUCAUAUCAACAUUUAUAUAGUAUAACAUUAUAAUUUAUUCCAAUAAAAUAAUUAUAAAUUUACAGUUUUAUCAUCAAAUAAUUAAUAAUACAGUUAUUUUAACCCAUGCAUAGCAUGGGAAGAACACUAGUUUUUAGAUAAAUUAAAAACAAGUAAAAAUAUCAAAUUGAAUUAUGAUCAAUUUAAUUGUAUCAUCAUCUUCAUUUUCAGUUUGUCUUUUCUCCCCAACUUUUUUUCUUUAUGCAGGUUCACAAAUUUGUUUGUGUUUUUAUUUUGUAAAUUCAAUUUUGUUUUAUAUUUACCAAAAUAUUUGUUAUUAAGCGCUGGAAAAUUUAUAUAUAAUGUUAAUAUAAAAUGCUAAUUAAAAAUUAUAAUUUGCAAAUGUCUAAGCCCGUCGAGGUCACCUAGGCGCUAGCCAUUAAUGUCUAUCUAUUUUACGAAAAUUCACCCGCGAAUCUACAAAAGCUUA